AUCCAUCUGACUAGUCCCAAAUAGGACGAAACGUGCGCCCUGGAU
rfam:Schistosoma rodhaini strain Burundi genome assembly, scaffold: SROB_scaffold0002396